rnacentral:rRNA from 1 species
GACGAACGCUGGCGGCGUGCCUAAUACAUGCAAGUAGAACGCUGAAGGAGGAGCUUGCUCUUCUGGAUGAGUUGCGAACGGGUGAGUAACGCGUAGGUAACCUGCCUGGUAGCGGGGGAUAACUAUUGGAAACGAUAGCUAAUACCGCAUAACAGUAGAUGUUGCAUGACAUUUGCUUAAAAGGUGCAAUUGCAUCACUACCAGAUGGACCUGCGUUGUAUUAGCUAGUUGGUGGGUUACGGCUCACCAAGGCGACGAUACAUAGCCGACCUGAGAGGGUGAUCGGCCACACUGGGACUGAGACACGGCCCAGACUCCUACGGGAGGCAGCAGUAGGGAAUCUUCGGCAAUGGACGGAAGUCUGACCGAGCAACGCCGCGUGAGUGAAGAAGGUUUUCGGAUCGUAAAGCUCUGUUGUAAGAGAAGAACGAGUGUGAGAGUGGAAAGUUCACACUGUGACGGUAUCUUACCAGAAAGGGACGGCUAACUACGUG